rnacentral:lncRNA from 1 species
AGAUGAAUGAGGAGCAUUCAUGAACUUCAGGCAUCAUUUAUCAGCUUGCCUCAUUAAAUAAGAUGCUUUAGUGAUGUUCUAUCCGAUUAAUAGACAAUCAUUCUCCUAUUUUCUCCUGUAUCGAAUUACAUUGUUAAAGUCACGUAUUCAAGAUCUUCUCGACUCUUACCCGAGGAUUGUCAACUACAAGUGAAGUAUUCUUGGCAAGAAAAGCCGAUUCUACAUGGAAAAUUCUACGGAACGGAGAGUCUCAAAAAACAUGAGCGAGGUGCAAAGCGAUCGAUCGACAAUGUUUACAGCAAAGACAACUCAAUUAUCCCGGGCACGACGUAAUGCAUGGAAGCGAUGAUUAAUAAAACUCGUUAGGCGAAUUGAGUCCAAUGCAUAUUCAACUAGUAUAUACGUAUCCACGGUAAACCAUGUGUUGGGUUUUAAUAUACAGUAGUUAAUCUAAGUGCCUAUUGUUUCAAGGCGCAUACACUAUCGUGAUGCUCAUCCGCCGUAUUACGAUGCGCUGCACGACCGUACAUGGAACGUAUGUGAUAGUAACAGAAGCAUCGGAUAAAAUCAAUCUGUCGAAACGAUGCGAAAGACGUGCGGAAAUAUUCCUGCCGAUUGAGAUAAAUGAAACGUACGUAGAAAGCGCUUCGUAACAUUGCAGGAAAAUAGCUUUUAAAGGAAAUGCUCGUCAGCUUUCCGGCAACGAUUUCCCAACGCUAUCCAUAUUAUGAUCAAACGCGGUAACAAGAGAAACAAAUCCAUCGCACCAACAAAUAUUGAAUAAUUCAAAUAUUGAAUCUAUCCUUGGUCGGGCGUCUGCGAGAUAGAAAAGAGAGAGAAACGAGCGAGUUAUGUCACGCAAAAAGGUAUAGUUGUAACGAAACACAAUACGUAAAUCGCUUUGUUACGUAAGCUCAAAUAGUCGCAUUUCUGUCGUGUGCUUUUCCAUCGGUAUUUCGAAAGACAGAUAAGUGAUUAACAUCGUCAAGAACACACGACAUGCAGAAGAGAAAAUGUUAGAUCGAGAUCGUUUAUUAUCAAAAAUAUAUAUGUAUGUAAUAAUACCGAGUUUGCGAUAGACUAUAUAAUUCGUGUUUAUGUCGCACUUUACAACAAGCACGUAUAAAAACUAUGAUAAGCUAAGGUAGAAAAGUUAAGAGGAUUUUAUGGGUCAAAUAUAUAAAAUAGAACCACCUUUUCUCUCCUCUCUACGUUAAAAUAAAGUUUCGUGCAGCCAAAAAGAAAAAAGGCAGUAUCGCGCCCGACAGGCGCGAAACGCCUUGAAUAUCAAUAUCAAAUCUGAAUGCGAGGUGCGUACAUGUAAUACAUGUUCCAUCGCGCUUGUCAGGUAACCCAACUAUGCACGGCCGCAUAGAUUUCAGGCUAAUGAAAUUUAUUAUCGACUGCACGCGACGUUAAUUUUUACCGAUGUGUAACAUGUAAAAAGAGCACUAUGCAAAACUGUUCUAUCGCGUGCAAUGAGAUACUUAAGAGAGUUAUAUACUAUAUAUUUACAAUCGUUUAUGACUCAAACUAUUUAUGCCUCCAAUAUCUAUGAUUCAGAGGAAAUGCGUGUCUCCUGAAACUCUGCGUAUCACGCAAAAAUUUAAUAAAUAAAAUAUAUCAUCAAUAAAGA